rnacentral:rRNA from 1 species
UACGAAGGGGGCUAGCGUUGCUCGGAAUCACUGGGCGUAAAGGGUGCGUAGGCGGGUCUUUAAGUCAGGGGGGAAAUCCUGGAGCUCAACUCCAGAACUGCCUUUGAUACUGAGGAUCUUGAGUUCGGGAGAGGUGAGUGGAACUGCGAGUGUAGAGGUGAAAUUCGUAGAUAUUCGCAAGAACACCAGUGGCGAAGGCGGCUCACUGGCCCGAUACUGACGCUGAGGCACGAAAGCGUGGGGAGCAAACGGG